rnacentral:rRNA from 1 species
AGUACGGCGGAACACGUGAAAUUCCGUCGGAAUCCGGGAGGACCAUCUCCCAAGGCUAAAUACUCCCUAGUGACCGAUAGUGAACCAGUACCGUGAGGGAAAGGUGAAAAGCACCCCGGAAGGGGAGUGAAACAGUUCCUGAAACCGUGUGCCUACAAGUAGUUAGAGCCCGUUAAUGGGUGAUAGCGUGCCUUUUGUAGAAUGAACCGGCGAGUUACGAUUUGUUGCAAGGUUAAGCGGAAAAAGCGGAGCCGUAGCGAAAGCGAGUCUGAAUAGGGCGCAUAAGUAACAGGUCGUAGACCCGAAACCAGGUGAUCUACCCAUGUCCAGGAUGAAGGUAAGGUAAUACUUACUGGAGGUCCGAACCCACGCACGUUGAAAAGUGCGGGGAUGAGGUGUGGGUAGCGGAGAAAUUCCAAUCGAACUUGGAGAUAGCUGGUUCUCUCCGAAAUAGCUUUAGGGCUAGCCUCGAGGUAAAGAGUCAUGGAGGUAGAGCACUGUUUGGACUAGGGGCCCUUCUCGGGUUACCGAAUUCAGAUAAACUCCGAAUGCCAUGUACUUAUACUCGGGAGUCAGACUGCGAGUGAUAAGAUCCGUAGUCGAAAGGGAAACAGCCCAGACCACCAGUUAAGGUCCCCAAAUAUAUGUUAAGUGGAAAAGGAUGUGGGGUUGCUUAGACAACCAGGAUGUUGGCUUAGAAGCAGCCACCAUUGAAAGAGUGCGUAAUAGCUCACUGGUCGAGUGACCCCGCGCCGAAAAUGUACCGGGGCUAAACAUAUUACCGAAACUGUGGAUGAACCUCUUUAGAGGUUCGUGGUAGGAGAGCGUUCUAAGGGCGGUGAAGUCAGACCGGAAGGACUGGUGGAGCGCUUAGAAGUGAGAAUGCCGGUAUGAGUAGCGAAAGAAGGGUGAGAAUCCCUUCCACCGAAUAUCUAAGGUUUCCUGAGGAAGGCUCGUCCGCUCAGGGUUAGUCGGGACCUAAGCCGAGGCCGAUAGGCGUAGGCGAUGGACAACAGGUAGAGAUUCCUGUACCAGUGCUAAUUGUUUAACCGAUGGGGUGACACAGAAGGAUAGGGAAUCGCACGAAUGGAAAUGUGCGUCCAAGCAGUGAGUGUGAGAAGUAGGCAAAUCCGCUUCUCGCGAAGCAUGAGCUGUGAUGGGGAAGGAAAUUAAGUACGGAAGUUCCUGAUUUCACGCUGUCAAGAAAAGCCUCUAGGAAGAGUAGUACUGCCCGUACCGCAAACCGACACAGGUAGAUGAGGAGAGAAUCCUAAGGUGAGCGAGAGAACUCUCGUUAAGGAACUCGGCAAAAUGACCCCGUAACUUCGGGAGAAGGGGUGCUCUAUUAGGGUGCAAGCCCGAGAGAGCCGCAGUGAAUAGGCCCAGGCGACUGUUUAGCAAAAACACAGGUCUCUGCAAAACCGUAAGGUGACGUAUAGGGGCUGACGCCUGCCCGGUGCUGGAAGGUUAAGAGGAGUGCUUAGCUUCGGCGAAGGUACGAAUUGAAGCCCCAGUAAACGGCGGCCGUAACUAUAACGGUCCUAAGGUAGCGAAAUUCCUUGUCGGGUAAGUUCCGACCCGCACGAAAGGCGCAACGAUCUGGGCACUGUCUCAACGAGAGACUCGGUGAAAUUAUAGUACCUGUGAAGAUGCAGGUUACCCGCGACAGGACGGAAAGACCCCGUGGAGCUUUACUGCAACCUGAUAUGGAAUGUUUGUACCGCUUGUACAGGAUAGGUAGGAGCCGAAGAGACGUGUGCGCUAGCAUACGAGGAGGCAAUGGUGGGAUACUACCCUGGCUGUAUGACCAUUCUAACCCGCCACGCUUAGCGCGUGGGGAGACAGUGUCAGGUGGGCAGUUUGACUGGGGCGGUCGCCUCCUAAAGAGUAACGGAGGCGCCCAAAGGUUCCCUCAGAAUGGAUGGAAAUCAUUCGCAGAGUGUAAAGGCACAAGGGAGCUUGACUGCGAGACUGACAAGUCGAGCAGGGACGAAAGUCGGGCUUAGUGAUCCGGUGGUUCCGCAUGGAAGGGCCAUCGCUCAACGGAUAAAAGCUACCCCGGGGAUAACAGGCUUAUCUCCCCCAAGAGUCCACAUCGACGGGGAGGUUUGGCACCUCGAUGUCGGCUCGUCGCAUCCUGG